UACGAAGGGGGCUAGCGUUGUUCGGAAUCACUGGGCGUAAAGGGCGCGUAGGCGGCUUUGUAAGUCGGGGGUGAAAGCCUGUGGCUCAACCACAGAAUUGCCUUCGAUACUGCGAGGCUUGAGACCGGAAGAGGUUAGUGGAACUGCGAGUGUAGAGGUGAAAUUCGUAGAUAUUCGCAAGAACACCAGUGGCGAAGGCGGCUCACUGGCCCGAUACUGACGCUGAGGUGCGAAAGCGUGGGGAGCAAACAGG
rnacentral:rRNA from 1 species